rnacentral:rRNA from 1 species
UACGAAGGGGGCUAGCGUUGUUCGGAUUUACUGGGCGUAAAGCGCACGUAGGCGGAUUGUUAAGUCAGGGGUGAAAUCCUGGAGCUCAACUCCAGAACUGCCUUUGAUACUGGCAAUCUUGAGUCCGGAAGAGGUGAGUGGAACUCCUAGUGUAGAGGUGGAAUUCGUAGAUAUUAGGAAGAACACCAGUGGCGAAGGCGGCUCACUGGUCCGGUACUGACGCUGAGGUGCGAAAGCGUGGG